UUCACUGCUUCGCUCACCCCGUCUUAUCACCCGCCUCCCCUCACCAUCAGUGUUUCUUGUGCCUCCUAAGCUAUUUGGACUUUGAUCCUUAUCUCAAAGUCAGCUUCUGGGAAACCCAAACUAAGAUGUGAAAUAAUGCAGAAGAGGAAAUUCUCUAGCUAUAAGACCAAUCAAAUCAUAUUCGCAGUAGGAGGUCAACAAAGUGGGACUCUUUGCAUGUUCCAUGAGGAUAUAUAGCUGCAUGCAUUCAAGAUGGUGUUGAGCCAGAAUAUUUCUCAAAUGUAAUCCUAAAACAUGACCUUGGAAGAAAACUAGGUUCAGGAAUCUAGGAAUGCUACUUUACUCUGACCCUGACAAAGAGACAAAUAGAUUUGCCCACAAUAGGCCCGCACCAAGCCUGGCAGAGUACAAGCUGAACUAGGGAAGCUGUUACGAGAGGAAUUCUAUCCCAGACUUGGAGAACUAAAGUGACUCUCAUGAAAUCAUAUUCUCACAAAGAAGACCACAGAGUGAAAACACCAAUCAAACCUUGCGAAGAAAGGAGAGAUUAUCCACCUGUUAUCUUUGUAAGUUUUAAAUGAGUACUAUGUGUGCUUGGAAAUGAAAAACUGCUGUUAGAGCUACUGCGAAUAGGAGCCUUCUAGUCCUUGUUCCAAGCAGAUGUAAGUAACUGCCUUAGAAAUGAUGCUUAGCACGAGCUGUUUUCUCUGGACUGUAUUCUGAGGUAACAAAAUGGAUGGUCAGUUGUCGUGGGUGACUGGGGCUAGGUAGUGUUCUUAUUGUGCUUUUGUAAACUUAUAGAUGAGAAUGUCAAUUAUUUGGCAGGUGGAAUAUCACUAAUAAAUAUAAGACCCAACUUCUAAGACAAUAAGAGAAUAAAAAUUAGAAGUCUACU